rnacentral:lncRNA from 1 species
GUCAGGGCAGUGGCUGAGUCUGCUUGCCGGGGGUCAGGAAGGCUGUUCUUCCAGGAAGGGCUGCAGAGACCCUGGGAACAGGACUAGGCUGCUCACAAGUAUGAAGAGAAUGUCGGGAGAGGAAGUGGUGGCUGUGAGUCAGCAUGAGUCAUCUCGUUCCAAUGAGAAUGAAGACUGAGGUGUGCGCCUUUUUUUUCUCUCUCUCACUUUUUAAAUUUUUUUUAUUUUUUUGAGUCUCAAUCGUGUGGACAUCACUGGGAAUGGAGGGAAAUAACUGACUGAAUGGUCGUUGCUUUUAAGUUUCAAACCGACAUUCCAGGCGGGUUGUGUCUGAGCCAGCCUCGGGCUUUCAGACCUUCACAGCCUGGUCCUGAGAAGGUAGAGCUCUCAGCUUCUCCCUGAGUUGUCACAGUGCUCAACCUGGAUUCAACUGCUCCUCCCCACAGCUAUCCCUCGCUGACUCCACCAGGGUAGGUUUCAUCUGUGUGAUUCCGUGUUGUCCC